UGGGGAAUUUUGGACAAUGGGCGAAAGCCUGAUCCAGCAAUGCCGCGUGUGUGAAGAAGGCCUUCGGGUUGUAAAGCACUUUUGUCCGGAAAGAAAUCCUUGGCUCUAAUACAGUCGGGGGAUGACGGUACCGGAAGAAUAAGCACCGGCUAACUACGUGCCAGCAGCCGCGGUAAUACGUAGGGUGCAAGCGUUAAUCGGAAUUACUGGGCGUAAAGCGUGCGCAGGCGGUUUGCUAAGACCGAUGUGAAAUCCCCGGGCUCAACCUGGGAACUGCAUUGGUGACUGGCAGGCUAGAGUAUGGCAGGAGGGGGGUAGAAUUCCACGUGUAGCAGUGAAAUGCGUAGAGAUGUGGAGGAAUACCGAUGGCGAAGGCAGCCCCCUGGGCCAAUACUGACGCUCAUGCACGAAAGCGUGGGGAGCAAACAGGAUUAGAUACCCUGGUAGUCCACGCCCUAAACGAUGUCAACUAGUUGUGGGGAUUCAUUCUUAGUAACGUAGCUAACGCGUGAAGUUGACCG
rnacentral:rRNA from 1 species